UACAGAGGUCUCAAGCGUUGUUCGGAUUCAUUGGGCGUAAAGGGUGCGUAGGUGGCGGGGCAAGUCAGGUGUGAAAUCUCGGGGCUCAACCCCGAAACUGCACUUGAUACUGCUUUGCUCGAGUACUGGAGAGGAGACUGGAAUUUACGGUGUAGCAGUGAAAUGCGUAGAUAUCGUAAGGAAGACCAGUGGCGAAGGCGAGUCUCUGGACAGUUACUGACACUGAGGCACGAAGGCCAGGGGAGCAAACGGG
rnacentral:rRNA from 1 species